rnacentral:lncRNA from 1 species
CCCAGCCACCACAUCGGGCUCAGCAUCGACCCAGCGGUCAAGGCGGUGAUGGGCAUCUUCAGCCUGGUGACAGGUCGCAGCCCGGCGUUCGCGGUUCACGGGGGGAGCAGCAGGGAGAACCUGGCGCUGCAGAACGUGCAGGUGGGCCUCCCAGGCGGGCCGCAGGGAACCCCGGGGACGGCCGGUGCUGGGGUCGGCAUGCCUCGGACGCACGGGUCGUGAAGCCUGGGGACAAGGACGGUGGAGCGUGUGCACCGGGGCGCGGGUUUGUGAGCGUGACGUGUGAGUGUGUACAAGCUUAGGCCGUCUCCGCAUCUCCGGGGAGCGGCUCACACGUGGCCCUGCCUCCCGGGCGGCUGCUGGGCUGCGGCUGCUGGACCCUGUCCAGGGUCCCUGUCCCCUUCCUGCGGGCAGGGGUGACCUUCCCCGGUGGUGACACGAGGGGCCAAGCUCUCUCCCAGCUGGAUCCCCAGCCCGGUCUCCCCACCGCCCCAGCUCAUGGCUCCAGCUCUGGUCCUUCUGUCCCCAUGGCCAAGCACCCAAGCCCGGCCUUGAGGGGAGGGGGGGCACCCCUGGCUCCCGACUCUGGACACCAGAAGCUCCUGUGUCACGGUAACUUCCCUGUCUUCCUGAGGUGGCUGGGAGGUGGUGUCAGCACACGGGGUCCCUCACGCCCUGCAUAGGUGACGGUCCCCCCCGUCGUCCAGCCCCGGUGACGGUCCCCCCUGUCGUCCAGGCACGCGUGAGGAUGGUCGUGGCUUACCUCUUUGCCCAGCUCAGCCUCUGGUCUCGGGGCGCUCCAGGCGGACUUCUCGUGCUCGGAUCUGCCAACGUGGACGAGAGGUACGUGCGGCCCUUGCCCGGACAGGUCCCCUGCUCGACCCGAGGCUGCCCGGCGGCGUCUGUCCCCCACUCUCUGCCCUGGGUCCUGCUGGGCCUGUGAGUGCAGCCGAGGGCCUGAGAGGACACGGCCGUCUCUCCGGCCUGGGAGUCCCGGCCUCGCCUGCAGACCCGCCCCUGUUUCCACCACCAGCCGUCCACUCAGCGGGCUGGGGUGAUGCGGGGGAGCCCCACUCGGGGGCUUUUAAUCCUCCCAGUCUGACUCCUGGAGGCGGGGCCUGACACCCUGGCCUUGUUCCCCAGUGGGAGCCCGGCCGGGGGCGGGUGAGUGUUGGGUCUUCCUCUCGAAAAGUGGGGGGAGGUCAGCCGUGUGAGUGGGCAAGGGGACAUGGGCCAAAUGGGGCUGCAGCACAGGUGUGUGACCUGCCAGUCCAGGCGUAGGUAAGCCAGGGAGCAGGAAGCAGCUGCUUUUGAUGCCGGGAAUUAAACGUGAACUUGGGGAGUGUGGAGAAGCGUGCCUGGCAAGGUAGGGCGAGGUCGGACCCUGGAAGGCCUUGUAAGGUGAGGACGCCCCGAGGAGAGGCAGACGGUCGAGUGUGUGGUCGGCAGUGACCUUGGAAGUGGGUGGGCUUGGGAUGGGGUGGAGAGCUGCGGUCAUCCGGUGGUCCAGCGAGAGAAUGUGGGGGGGAGGCAGGGGGAGGGCUGGACCCAUUGAUGGGGUGUGUGAGGGUCGUGGGGCGGAUGGGACAAGUGGCCACAGAUGGCUGCAAAACAGAAAUGAAUUUCUCCCUUCCACCUGACCUCAGGGGCUUCAAAUCAAAGUGUCGCAGGGCUAGGGGUUCCUACUGUCGCUCGGCAGGUGAGUGACCUGACACUGCCCGUGAGGAUGCAGGGCCCAUCCCUGGCCUCACUCAGUGGGUUAGCGGCACAGGUCACAGAUGUGGCCUGGAUCUGGUGUGGCUGUGGCUGUGGCUGUCAUGUAGGCCAGCAGCUGCAAUUCCGAUUUGACCCCUCGCUUGGGGACUUCCACACGCCACGGGUUCCACCCUAAAAAGGCAGAAAAAUGCCGCAGAGCUGGAUCCUUCUGGAGGCUCCAGGGGAGAGUCUGUUCGUUGUCUUCCAGCUCCUGAUGCCCUGGCCCGAGGCCGCUCCCUCUCCCUGCAAAGCCAGUGGUGCAGGGUCCGGGCUCUGUGGUCACAGCUCCCACUGACUGACACCACCCACCCCCGCCACUAACUCUCCCGUUUUUAAGGACCCUUGUGAAUGCACUUAGGCCUCCCCCGUAACCCAGGAUAGUCACCCCAUCACGAGGCCCUUCACCUAAUCUCAUCUGCAACGUCCCAUCUGCCCUGUAUGCAUGUGUGUGUAUGUGUGUGUGUGUGUGCGCGCGCGCGCACGCGCGUGCGUGUGCGUGCAGGUUCCAGGGGUCAGGAUGUGAGCAUCUUUGGGGACAGCUCCAUCCACCACCGGAGGUGACGAGGAGCGGGGAGGUGGCCCUGCCGCUGUCGGCUCAGGGUCCAUGUGCCUCUCAGGGACCCCUGUCCCUCAGCUCCCCGCACUGCUGGACCUGGCCCUCACGUCCCAGACGGGCUGCUUCCCGCUGGCUGCUGGUCAUUCCCAAAGCGGACUUGACCUUGCCCAGGUCUCACAACCACGGGGACGGUGGGGAGUCAGACACAGUAACUUC